AUAAUCCUCCGCAGCCGGCUGUGAAUUUGUCAAAUUAAAAGAAUAAAGAUUGCUGACCAGGUCGAGAAGUCCGACUUUGUGUACAAAUGGACAUCCGAUGACGCUGCCAGGUUCAUCCAGGCAAGGGGGGAGGCAGAUCGGCUCUUCACAGGCCAGAGGAACAGUGCCAUGGAUGGCUGGAAACAGGUCCUCAGGUCUGUUGGCCUGAAGGAGAAGGUGACCCCACAACAGGCCCGUAAAAAGUGGGACAACCUUAAAAAAAAUACAAGGAAAUGAAAACCCCCCCAACAGGAACAGGGACAGAUGCUGGGGAGGACACAGCAGCCUCGUGGCCAUGGAUGAGAUUCUGGGGCAGAGGCACUCUAUCUCCCCACCAGUGAUCCGUGCCUCCAUGUCCCCGAUCUCAUCCAGGGAAGCAGAGCCAUGCUCGUCAGGUGCUG